UACGUAGGGUGCAAGCGUUGUCCGGAAUUAUUGGGCGUAAAGAGCUCGUAGGCGGUUCGUCGCGUCGGCUGUGAAAUCCCGAGGCUCAACCUCGGGUCUGCGGUCGAUACGGGCAUCACUGGAGUUCGGCAGGGGAGACUGGAAUUCAAGGUGUAGCGGUGAAAUGCGCAGAUAUCUUGAGGAACACCGGUGGCGAAGGCGGGUCUCUGGGCCGAUACUGACGCUGAGGAGCGAAAGCGUGGGGAGCGAACAGG
rnacentral:rRNA from 1 species